CAGACAUCGUAGGGAAGUCCAUAAGAACGGUAAAUGUAUCCCAUGUGGACGGUGCGACAUGAAGUUUACAAGAACAGAGAAUCUUAAAAGUCAUUUUGAAGAAUGCAUAACUCGAUGGCGACCUGUCUAUUCAAAGGGUGCACUGAGGAGUUUCCUGACAAGCAUGCUAGGAAGACUCAUGAAAAAUCUAACCAGCAUGUUGAUGAUGGAACUAAGAAGAUCAAAUGCCACUUCAAGGGCUGCCCGAGAAAAUAUCCAUCGAUGCAAAAACAAAACUGGCAUUAUACGAUAUCUCAUAAGAGCCCGGGAGUCCAAUAAAGGAGAAGAUAGAGGUAUAGAUGGCCUUAUACCAAUAUGUUGGAGAGGCAGCAUUGUGGUCUGCAGAAGCCUGAAUAUUUUGUUCUUGCGCAGUAUGUUUGCACAUGUUAUAUCAAUGCGGUUGGAAGAAUCCUUACAGUGGUCUUUUGUGUAUAAAUUUCAUGUUUACCAGAAUACCAGUUGUAGGAGUACUUGCAGUAGUUUUUUGUGUACCUACAGGUCAUGAUUAGAGCAUGUGUCCAAUUUCUU